UGAGAAUAGAAUCCCAUGGAGUUUGGUCACUUAGCCUGACACAGCUUUAUUCUUCCAGCAAAUCUCCGAUCCCAGAGACACACGAGACAAGCUCCACCAUCCUCACAGUGGAUGCAAACAAAGGGAACCAUAGUUGAGUUUAUCCUUUGAAAGACCUGCACUCAAGGGACUUAUGUCCAGGACCAUUAGGGCCGCAGCUGUCUGGUUCUCAGUGAGAGGCCUCCAACAACCCAGCCCAACAGCCGUUUCCAUUGGGCCAGCUUAGGCGCUCAGGCACUCAGGAGCAUUACUGCUUGAAGAAUCAUGACGAUUGCUGUGCUCCCGAGCUCAUGACCUUCCCCACACUGGGGAGUGGACACCGUAGUCCUGUGCUCGUUCCUUGAAUGUUUCCAUUCCUCGGCGACAGUGCCGGGGCGUUCAUUUAAAUAUCGUCAAUAAACUUUCCCUGUGCAAA